AUGCACGCUGGCGGCGCGCCUAAUCCAUGCAAGUCGAGCGAACAGACGAGGAGCUUGCUCCUCUGACGUUAGCGGCGGACGGGUGAGUAACACGUGGAUAACCUACCUAUAAGACUGGGAUAACUUCGGGAAACCGGAGCUAAUACCGGAUAAUAUAUUGAACCGCAUGGUUCAAUAGUGAAAGACGGUUUUGCUGUCACUUAUAGAUGGAUCCGCGCCGCAUUAGCUAGUUGGUAAGGUAACGGCUUACCAAGGCGACGAUGCGUAGCCGACCUGAGAGGGUGAUCGGCCACACUGGAACUGAGACACGGUCCAGACUCCUACGGGAGGCAGCAGUAGGGAAUCUUCCGCAAUGGGCGAAAGCUUGACGGAGCAACGCCGCGUGAGUGAUGAAGGUCUUCGGAUCGUAAAACUCUGUUAUUAGGGAAGAACAAAUGUGUAAGUAACUAUGCACGUCUUGACGGUACCUAAUCAGAAAGCCACGGCUAACUACGUG
rnacentral:rRNA from 1 species